rnacentral:rRNA from 1 species
GACGAACGCUGGCGGCGUGCCUAAUACAUGCAAGUAGGACGCAGUUGCGAACGGGUGAGUAACGCGUAGGUAACUACCUAUUAGAGGGGGAUAACUAUUGGAAACGAUAGCUAAUACCGCAUACUAGUAGAUGGACCUGCGUUGUAUUAGUUAGUAGGUAGGGUAAUGGCUUACCUAGGCAACGAUACAUAGCCGACCUGAGAGGGUGUAUGGACACACUGGGACUGAGACUCGGCGCAGAUUCCUGCGGGAGGCAGCAGUAGGGAAUCUUCGGCAAUGGGGGGAACCCUGAUCGAGCAACGCCGCGUGCGUGAAGAAGGUUUUCGGAUCGUAAAGAUCUGUUGUUAAGGAAGCGGUACUUAACCAGAAAGGGACGGCUAACUACGUGCCAGCCGCCGCGGUAAUUC